GCAUACUGGGAAGUUUUGGCCAGGAUCCAGUUUUGAUACUUCUGAUUCUUUCCAAACUGGAAGGGGACCUCAGAGAUCAAUCAAUGCUCCUAUGGCACAGGUGGAGAAGAUGAAGCCUAUGAGACUAAAUCAUUAGUCCCAGUUCACAUCUCCUGUGACUCUUUGUGAUCCCAUCAAGGAUUAUCUUGGCAAAGAUGCUGGAAACUGAGAAGGUGAUCUCUUUCAAAAUGGAGAGCUGAGCAAAUGCCUAUGAAUGAGGAGGAGACUGGCACCUGCACAGGGUGAUGAUAAAUGGAG